rnacentral:rRNA from 1 species
UGGGAACGUGCCCUUCAGUUCGGGAUAACCCAGGGAAACUUGGGCUAAUACCGGAUACGUGCGAGAGCAGAAAGAUUUAUCGCUGAAGGAUCGGCCCGCGUCUGAUUAGCUAGUUGGUGAGGUAAUGGCUCACCAAGGCGACGAUCAGUAGCUGGUCUGAGAGGAUGAUCAGCCACACUGGGACUGAGACACGGCCCAGACUCCUGCGGGAGGCAGCAGUGGGGAAUAUUGGACAAUGGGCGCAAGCCUGAUCCAGCCAUGCCGCGUGAGUGAUGAAGGCCUUAGGGUUGUAAAGCUCUUUCGGCGGGGACGAUAAUGACGGUACCCGCAGAAGAAGCCCCGGCUAACUUCGUGCUAGCCGCCGCGGUAAUC